rnacentral:rRNA from 1 species
AGAACGAACGCUGGCGGCAUGCCUAACACAUGCAAGUCGAACGAGACCUUCGGGUCUAGUGGCGCACGGGUGCGUAACGCGUGGGAAUCUGCCCAAAGGUUCGGAAUAACUCAGGGAAACUUGAGCUAAUACCGGAUGAUGUCGCAAGACCAAAGAUUUAUUGCCUUUGGAUGAGCCCGCGUAGGAUUAGCUUGUUGGUGAGGUAAAGGCUCACCAAGGCUACGAUCCUUAGCUGGUCUGAGAGGAUGAUCAGCCACACUGGGACUGAGACACGGCCCAGACUCCUACGGGAGGCAGCAGUGGGGAAUAUUGGACAAUGGGCGAAAGCCUGAUCCAGCAAUGCCGCGUGAGUGAUGAAGGCCCUAGGGUUGUAAAGCUCUUUUACCCGGGAAGAUAAUGACUGUACCGGGAGAAUAAGCCCCGGCUAACUCCGUGCCAGCAGCCGC